rnacentral:rRNA from 1 species
UACAGAGGUCUCAAGCGUUGUUCGGAUUCAUUGGGCGUAAAGGGUGCGUAGGUGGCUGGGUAAGUCGGAUGCGAAAUCCCGGGGCUCAACCUCGGAACUGCAUUCGAUACUGCUUUGCUUGAGUACUGGAGAGGAGAUUGGAAUUUACGGUGUAGCAGUGAAAUGCGUAGAUAUCGUAAGGAAGACCAGUGGCGAAGGCGGAUCUCUGGACAGUUACUGACACUGAGGCACGAAGGCCAGGGGAGCAAACGGG